rnacentral:misc_RNA from 1 species
GAUGAAGAACGUAGCGAAAUGCGAUAAGUAAUGUGAAUUGCAGAAUUCAGUGAAUCAUCGAAUCUUUGAACGCAUCUUGCGCUCCUUGGUAUUCUGAGGAGCAUGCCUGUUUGAGUGUCAUUAAAUUCUCAACUACACUGACUUUGAAUUGGUGUGGCUUGGAUUUGGGGGGAAAAUUGUUGUGGGCUUUUUGUAUAGUCUGCUCCCUUGAAAUUGAUUAGCGGUACCUUUGUGGAACUGUCUACAGGUGUGAUAAUUAUCUACAUCUUAGACAUCUGCUGGAAUGCUGCUUUCUAAACCUUACUUGUAUUGACAAUCUUGACCUCAAAUCAGGAAGGACUACCCGCUGAACUUAAGCAUAUCAAUAAGCGGAGGA